rnacentral:misc_RNA from 1 species
UUAUCUGCUUUAAGCCUCUUUUUCAGAUCACGAUCCUUUCCCUUGCUAUCUUUAGCCAUGUCCAACGCUAUCGGAAUCUUGCUAGCGAGUAAGAAAGGUGGCCACUGGAUAAGAUCCAAAUCCCGAUCUGCCCAAUAUGGAACAAGCAACAAGCCCAUUUCCCUCUCGCUAAUUAGAUCUUCUUCUCGGAAACUAGUAAUUAUUUUGUUCCACAUUUGAGCAAACUUUGCAGCUUCCUUCUCCUUACUACUAGGAGGUACCUUGGCGAACCGACGUGAUAAAG